rnacentral:rRNA from 1 species
UACGUAGGGACCAAGCGUUGUUCGGAUUUACUGGGCGUAAAGGGCGCGUAGGCGGCGUGACAAGUCACUUGUGAAAUCUCUGGGCUUAACCCAGAACGGCCAAGUGAAACUGUUGUGCUAGAGUGCAGAAGGGGCAAUCGGAAUUCUCGGUGUAGCGGUGAAAUGCGUAGAUAUCGAGAGGAACACCAGAGGUGAAGACGGGUUGCUGGGCUGACACUGACGCUGGAGGCGCGGAAAGCCCAGGGGAGCAAACGGG